CGCUGGGAGCUGGCUCUGUGCCUCCUGCUGGCCUGGGUCAUCUGCUACUUCUGCAUCUGGAAGGGGGUGAAGUCCACAGGCAAGGUGGUGUACUUCACAGCCACAUUUCCUUACCUCAUGCUGGUGGUCCUGUUAAUUCGAGGGGUGACAUUGCCUGGGGCAGCCCAAGGAAUUCAGUUUUACCUGUACCCAAACCUCACGCGUCUGUGGGAUCCCCAGGGCGGAAUGUACGUGUUCCAGCUCUUUGACUACUAUGCGGCCAGUGGCAUGUGCCUCCUGUUCGUGGCCAUCUUCGAGUCCCUCUGUGUGGCUUGGGUUUACGGUGAGUGACUCCUCCCCU
rnacentral:sRNA from 1 species